UACGGGGGGGGCAAGCGUUGUUCGGAAUUACUGGGCGUAAAGGGCGCGUAGGCGGCCUUCUAAGUCGAACGUGAAAUCCCACGGCUCAACCGUGGAACUGCUCGGUAUACUGCUUUUCUUGAGCCACUUAGGGGCUGUCGGAACAAACGGUGGAGCGGUGAAAUGCGUAGAUAUCGUUUGGAACGCCAACGGUGAAAACAGACAGCUGGGAGUGUGCUGACGCUGAGACACGAAAGCCAGGGGAGCGAACGGG
rnacentral:rRNA from 1 species